GACGAACGCUGGCGGCGUGCUUAACACAUGCAAGUCGAACGCUGAAGCUUGGUGCUUGCACUGGGUGGAUGAGUGGCGAACGGGUGAGUAAUACGUGAGUAACCUGCCCUUGACUCUGGGAUAAGCCUGGGAAACUGGGUCUAAUACUGGAUACGACAUGUCACCGCAUGGUGGUGUGUGGAAAGGGUUUUACUGGUUUUGGAUGGGCUCACGGCCUAUCAGCUUGUUGGUGGGGUAAUGGCUCACCAAGGCGACGACGGGUAGCCGGCCUGAGAGGGUGACCGGCCACACUGGGACUGAGACACGGCCCAGACUCCUACGGGAGGCAGCAGUGGGGAAUAUUGCACAAUGGGCGGAAGCCUGAUGCAGCGACGCCGCGUGAGGGAUGACGGCCUUCGUGUUGUAAACCUCUUUCAGCACGGAAGAAGCGAAAGUGACGGUACGUGCAGAAGAAGCGCCGGCUAACUACGUG
rnacentral:rRNA from 1 species